rnacentral:rRNA from 1 species
ACCUGGUUGAUCCUGCCAGUAGUCAUAUGCUUGUUUCAAGGACUAAGCCAUGCAAGUCUCAGAGUAAAUGGAUCACAGUAGGUCUGGAGACAGGUCAUUAAAUCAGCUUCAAUCUACGGGGAGAAACUGGCUCUUGGGAGACUAUUGGAUAACUUUGGUAACCCCAAAGGUAAUACAUGUCAGUAAAACCCGACAGGUUCCACCCCGUGGGUUGGUGGUGGGGGUGUGGUGGGUGGAAUUGACCAAACAAAAACAACGCCAGGAAUGGGAGGGGUGAUUGGAUGAUUCAGGUCAUCGAGUAGUAGCGGAUACUUCGGUGGCGGUUGUCCGCAUGAGAAUCUGCCCUAUCAGCUUUUGACGGUAGUGUAGUGGACUACCGUGGCUGUAACGGGUAACGGGGAAUUAGGGUUCGAUUCCGGAGAGGGAGCUGAGAAACGGGUACCACAACUAAGGUUGGCAGCAGGCGCGCAAAUUGCCCCAUAGCAACACAUCGCUGAGGCAGCGAAGAGAAAUAGCAACUUCAUGCGGGCCUGCCGUGUGAAGAUUGCCAUGGACGAUAUCUAAACCUGUCGGUGAGUAUCAAUUGGUGGACAAGUCUGGUGCCAGCACCCGCGGUAAUUCCAGCACCAAUAGCGUAUAUUAAUGCUGCUGCUGUUAAAAAGCUCGUAGUUGGAUCAAGAGUCGGACAGUGCAAGGUGGGCCCACUUGGCCCGCGUGGUUACGGUCACAAAGGGCGGUGGCGGAUCAACCCCUUGGCGCCCAACUGUCCGCUCUAACAGGCCCGAAACGGUUCCCUGUGAGUAGGACCCUUCACGGGGUUCGAAAGCGCCUACGCAUCAACCAUAUGCCAUACGGGACGUCGGCCAAUGUUACUGUGAACAAACCAGCGUGUCCAAAGCAGGCCUUCGCCUGAAUGUUCGAGCAUGGAAUAACAAGGGAUCGAUUCUCUCGAUUCUUUUUGUUGGUUUUUAACCCGAGAAGGAGUAAUUCAGCUCACGGUGUCUGAGUUGGUUCCCCUGCCCUUCGGUGGAGCCCCAAUUAGCCCGUUCCUUCGGGAUCAAUAGGACGAGGGGCCCGUACGUACUUCCCCGUCAGAGGUGAAAUUCUUAGAUCCGGGGAAGACGAACUUCUCCGAAACCAUUGGCCAAGAAUGUCUUCAUUAAUCAAGAACGAGAGUGUGGGGAUCGAAGAUGAUCAGAUACCGUCGUAGUCCACUACUGUAAACAAUCCCGUCUCAGGAUUGAGAAGUGAACCAAAUGACUUUCACACCACUAACCCCUGAAACGAGAAAUCAAAGAUUAUGGGUUCAGGGGGGAGUACAUUCCCAAGGCUGAAACUUAA